rnacentral:ncRNA from 1 species
GUGUUGUGUUAAAGGAGAGAAGGUUAGCAAUUCCCUUGACAAGGAUGGAAGAGGCCAUCAGGCCUGACAACAAGUAUACAGUUAAGACAUUGCCACCCAUUUUGUGGCUUCUAACCAUCAUUUAAA